UUGUGUGUGUUUUGGUUCGGAUGCUGAUGUAAGUCCAGUGAUUGGCAUUCAGGCUCCAUGUUUGCCUGCUUUUGUGUUUUGUUUUGUUUGGCGUCCCUAUGUAGCCGAGCUACGGCAACUCUGAUUCUCAUGUUCAAAUGAGAUACGUAGGCACAAGAUGCGAUGUCUUGCCGAGUUUGACUAACGACUAACAACUAAUCCUUAUUUUCUUUCGCCCUUGUUG
rnacentral:lncRNA from 1 species